AGAGUUUGAUCCUGGCUCAGAACGAACGCUGGCGGCGUGCCUGACACAUGCAAGUCGAACGAGAAAAUCCCUUCCGGGGGGAGGAUAGGGGCGGCCGGGGGAAUAAUACAGAGGUUUUAUUCCCUCGUGAGGAGGAUAUCCCUCCGAAAGAGGGGGUAUUACCGCAUAAAACCACACGGGUCUUGUGUCGUGGUAGCAAAGGGACUCUUUUCUAAAUAACCUUUCACUAAAGAAGAAUCCUAUGGCCUAUCAGUUUGUGGGUGAGGUAAGAGCUCACCAAGGGUAGGACGGGUAGUUGUUUGGAGAGGACGUCCAGCCCCACUGAGACUGAGACACGUCCCAGAUUCUUACGGGAGGCAGCAGUAGGGAAUAUUGGGCAAUGGGGGAAACCCUGACCCAGAGACGCCGCGGGGGGGAGAAAGUCCUUCGAUUGGUAAAGUCCUGUCAGGUGGAAAGAACAGUUCCGGGGUGAAUAUCCACGCGAUUGGACGGUACCACAAAAGGAAGCCCCGGUUAAUUCCGUCCCACCAGCCGCGGUAAUACGGAGGGGGCAAGCGUUGUUGGGAUCUAUUGGGGGUAAAGGGGGCGUAGGCGGUUGUGAAAUUCAAAUGUGAAAUACUUCGGCUCAACCGAAGAACGCCAUCUAAAACUUCAUAACUGGAGUACAGGAGAGGGAAACGGAAUUCCCGGUGUAGAGGUGAAAUUGGUAGAUAUCGGGAGGACCACCAGUGGAGAAGGCGGUUUCUUGUCCUGAUACUGACGGUGAGGCGGGAAAGCGUGGGGAACAAACAGGAUUAGAUCCCUUGGUAGUCCACGCUUAAGCGAUAAAAUUAGGUGUGGGAGGUGUAAUACCUUCAGUGCCGAAGCUAACGCGUUAAGUAUCCGACCUGG
rnacentral:rRNA from 1 species